rnacentral:rRNA from 1 species
GACGAACGCUGGCGGCGUGCUUAACACAUGCAAGUCGAACGGAAAGGCCCUGCUUUUGUGGGGUGCUCGAGUGGCGAACGGGUGAGUAACACGUGAGUAACCUGCCCUUGACUUUGGGAUAACUUCAGGAAACUGGGGCUAAUACCGGAUAGGAGCUCCUGCUGCAUGGUGGGGGGUGGAAAGUUUCGGCGGUUGGGGAUGGACUCGCGGCUUAUCAGCUUGUUGGUGGGGUAGUGGCUUACCAAGGCUUUGACGGGUAGGCGGCCUGAGUGGGUGACCGGCCACAUUGGGACUGAGGGAAGGCCCAGACUCCUACGGGAGGCAGCAGUGGGGAAUAUUGCACAAUGGGCGGAAGCCUGAUGCAGCAACGCCGCGUGCGGGAUGACGGCCUUCGGGUUGUAAACCGCUUUCGCCUGUGACGAAGCGUGAGUGACGGUAAUGGGUAAAGAAGCACCGGCUAACUACGUG